AUACUUACCUGGCAAGGGAGAUACAUGAUCAUGCAGGUGGUUUUCCCAGGGUGAGACAUCCAUUGCACUCUCAAUGUGCGUCCCUGUGAUUUCCCCAAAUGUGGCAAACUCGACUGCAUGAUUUGUGGUAGUGGGGGACUGCGUUUGUGCUUUCCCUGG